rnacentral:misc_RNA from 1 species
CUCAAUUCUCAUGUGUGGUUAGUAUGGGUGAAAUCUGAAUUCGAGCUGAGGUAGUGUAGCCCCUUAAGAAACGACAAAAGACCCAUGGUAAAAAUAUGAAACAAUCAAGGGAAUUAAUCGUGUUAACAAACAACAGUAACUCUUAGCAAUGACAAUGACACCUGGGAGAAGACGGGGGAGGGGGAGGGGGUUUACCAGGCAACGUCUCUACCGAGAAAGAAAUAAAUAUAUUUUAAGCGUCACGGUAAACAUUUUUAAGGUGUAAACACCAAUCUAUCUUUGACACACUAAUUGUCAUUGAUAGCAUUUAAAUUUAGAGAAUACAAAAAAAAAAAACGCGAUAAACCAAUCAGAAAUAAGCAUAUAUGAAUAAAAACUACCAGC